GGGUGGAUGCGCGGAAUUGGUAUCGCAACUGACUGUAAAUCAGCCGCUUAUGCAUUGUAGGUUCGAGUCCUACUCCGCCCA
rnacentral:tRNA from 1 species